ACCCCAGUAGCUCAUCUGGUAGAGUGCGUGCCAUGUAAGCCCAAGACCUUACUGCAGUGGCCCAGGUUCAAAUCCAGCCUGGGAUU